CGAGUUUGCCGGCGAUUAAAAGGGAACACGGGUGAGAAUCCCGGACAGUCCCGCUGCGGUAAUUUUCAUUAACGGUCUCAGGCUUUCAGCCACUGGAUUUCGGCGAUACGGAUCUGGGAAGGCGCUUGAGUUAAACCGGAAAUAAGUCCGAAGACCUGCCUGCGUGUUAU
rnacentral:ncRNA from 1 species